AAGGAAUAUUGGACAAUGGGCGCAAGCCUGAUCCAGCCAUGCCGCGUGAAGGAUGACGGCCCUAUGGGUUGUAAACUUCUUUUAGCAGGGAAAAAACCCCUCGAUGCGUCGGGGGCUGAUGGUACCUGCAGAAUAAGGAUCGGCUAACUCCGUGCCAGCAGCCGCGGUAAUACGGAGGAUCCAAGCGUUAUCCGGAUUUAUUGGGUUUAAAGGGUGCGUAGGCGGAUAAAUAAGUCAGUGGUGAAAGCCUGCAGCUUAACUGUAGAAUUGCCAUUGAUACUGUUUAUCUUGAAUAUAGUUGAGGUGGGCGGAAUAUGACAUGUAGUGGUGAAAUACUUAGAUAUGUCAUAGAACACCGAUUGCGAAGGCAGCUCACUAAGCUAUGAGUGACGCUGAGGCACGAAAGCGUGGGGAGCAAAC
rnacentral:rRNA from 1 species